GGAUUAGAUACCCUGGUAGUCCACGCCGUAAACAAUGGACACUUGGUGUUGGAGGUAUUGACCCCUUCAGUGCCGGAGCUAACGCGUUAAGUGUCCCGCCUGGGGAGUACGGUCGCAAGAUUAAAACUCAAAGAAAUUGACGGGGGCCCGCACAAGCGGUGGAGCAUGUGGUUUAAUUCGAUGCAACGCGAAAUACCUUACCUGGGUUUGAAUUGCAGGGGAAUUUGUUAGAGAUAACAACGCUCUUCGGAGUCGCUGUGAAGGUGCUGCAUGGCUGUCGUCAGCUCGUGCCG
rnacentral:rRNA from 1 species